CUUCAAUUCUGGUUGAUCCUGCCAGAGGUUACUGCUAUCGGAGUUCGAUUAAGCCAUGCGAGUCUAAAGGUUUCUUCGGAAACCUUGGCGGACUGCUCAGUAACACGUGGAUAACCUACCCUUGGGACUGG
rnacentral:rRNA from 1 species